UACGUAGGUGGCGAGCGUUGUCCGGAUUUACUGGGCGUAAAGGGAGCGUAGGCGGACUUUUAAGUGAGAUGUGAAAUACCCGGGCUCAACUUGGGUGCUGCAUUUCAAACUGGAAGUCUAGAGUGCAGGAGAGGAGAAUGGAAUUCCUAGUGUAGCGGUGAAAUGCGUAGAGAUUAGGAAGAACACCAGUGGCGAAGGCGAUUCUCUGGACUGUAACUGACGCUGAGGCUCGAAAGCGUGGGGAGGCAAACAGGAUUAGAUACCCCGUA
rnacentral:rRNA from 1 species